UCACAGAUGCAUGAGUGAGCAGGCGCUAGACACCCCCCAGUACAUGAUUUGUUGUUUAGGGUCAACAGUGAAGGCUGAAUUGCACUGGCAGCCUUACCUAAAGAGAGUUCAACUCAAUGAAAAGGCAGAUGAAUUCUUCCAGGGACUUUGACUAAGAGAGGUAUUCUUCC